rnacentral:rRNA from 1 species
CACGUAGGAUGCGAGCGUUAUCCGGAUUUAUUGGGCGUAAAGCGUGCGCAGGUGGUUUGGUAAGUUGGAUGUGAAAGCUCCUGGCUUAACUGGGAGAGGUCGUUCAAUACUACUGAACUUGAGAGUGGUAGAGGAAGGUGGAAUUCCGCGUGUAGUGGUGAAAUGCGUAGAUAUGCGGAGGAACACCAGUGGCGAAAGCGGCCUUCUGGACCACUUCUGACACUCAUGCACGAAAGCUAGGGUAGCAAACGGGAUUAGAAACCCUAGUAGUCC